UUGUUUUUUUUUAAAUUGAAACAAAUACAGAGUUGUUGACCUCUUCCAGUAAACUAUAGGUGACGCCCCCUCACUUUAUUUAAUUACAAAGGUCCAUGCUGACACACUGUUUAAAAGACUGAGUCCUUCAUUGACAAAAUACAUUAUUUUCAACCUCUUACCUGAGCACUCUCUACUCUGACAAGUCUAACUGCAACCAUGAAAUAUUUGGCUCUGGCUUUGCUGCUAUGUGCUCUGCCAUCACUGUCAACUGCAGCCUGUGGCAUUAUGCCCCAUAAAACAGGCAUGACCCAUUGUCAGGACAGUGUUAUAAAACAUGGCAUCCUGUAGGAUCUUCAUGGAGAAACAGUGAUUGUAUUUCCUGUACUUGCGAC